UACGUAGGGUGCAAGCGUUAAUCGGAAUUACUGGGCGUAAAGCGUGCGCAGGCGGUUUUGUAAGUCUGUCGUGAAAUCCCCGGGCUCAACCUGGGAAUUGCGAUGGAGACUGCAAGGCUAGAAUCUGGCAGAGGGGGGUAGAAUUCCACGUGUAGCAGUGAAAUGCGUAGAGAUGUGGAGGAACACCGAAUGGCGAAGGCAGCCCCCUGGGUCAAGAUUGACGCUCAUGCACGAAAGCGUGGGGAGCGAAACAGGACUUAGGAAA
rnacentral:rRNA from 1 species